rnacentral:rRNA from 1 species
UACGUAGGGACCGAGCGUUGUCCGGAAUCAUUGGGCGUAAAGAGCGUGUAGGCGGCCAACUAAGUCCUGCGUGAAAUCUCGGGGCUCAACCCCGAGCGGUCGUGGGAAACUGGUUGGCUAGAGUGCGGGAGAGGAGAGUGGAAUUCCUGGUGUAGCGGUGAAAUGCGCAGAUAUCAGGAAGAACACCCGUGGCGAAGGCGGCUCUCUGGAACGCAACUGACGCUGAGACGCGGAAGCGUGGGGAGCAAACAGG